rnacentral:rRNA from 1 species
GACGAACGCUGGCGGCGUGCUUAACACAUGCAAGUCGAACGGAAAGGCCCUGCUUUUGUGGGGUGCUCGAGUGGCGAACGGGUGAGUAACACGUGAGUAACCUGCCCUUGACUUUGGGAUAACUUCAGGAAACUGGGGCUAAUACCGGAUAGGAGCUCCUGCUGCAUGGUGGGGGUUGGAAAGUUUCGGCGGUUGGGGAUGGACUCGCGGCUUAUCAGCUUGUUGGUGGGGUAGUGGCUUACCAAGGCUUUGACGGGUAGCCGGCCUGAGAGGGUGACCGGCCACAUUGGGACUGCGAUACGCCCCAGACUCCUACGGGAGGCAGCAGUGGGGAAUAUUGCACAAUGGGCGGAAGCCUGAUGCAGCAACGCCGCGUGCGGGAUGACGGCCUUCGGGUUGUAAACCGCUUUCGCCUGUGACGAAGCGUGAGUGACGGUAAUGGGUAAAGAAGCACCGGCUAACUACGUG